AUUUCUGAAAAAUUGACCU
rnacentral:rRNA from 6 species